rnacentral:rRNA from 1 species
AGGUGCUGCAUGGCUGUCGUCAGCUCGUGUCGUGAGAUGUUGGGUUAAGUCCCGCAACGAGCGCAACCCUCGUGUUUAGUUACUAACAGUUCGGCUGAGGACUCUAGACAGACUGCCUGGGUAACCAGGAGGAAGGUGAGGACGACGUCAAGUCAUCAUGGCCCUUACGGCCAGGGCUACACACGUGCUACAAUGGGGUAUACAAAGAGCCGCAAUACCGUGAGGUGGAGCAAAUCUCAUAAAAUAUCUCCCAGUUCGGAUAGCAGUCCGCAACUCGACUGCUUGAAGUUGGAAUCGCUAGUAAUCGUGAAUCAGCAACGUCACGGUGAAUACGUUCCCGGGUCUUGUACUCACCGCCCGUCACACCAUGGGAAUUGAAUUCAUUCGAAGCGGGGAUGCUAAAAUAGCUACCUUCCACAGUGGAUUUAGUGACUAGGGUGAAGUCGUAACAAGGUA